rnacentral:rRNA from 1 species
UGGGGAAUAUUGGACAAUGGGCGCAAGCCUGAUCCAGCCAUGCCGCGUGUGUGAAGAAGGUCUUCGGAUUGUAAAGCACUUUAAGUUGGGAGGAAGGGCAGUAANUUAAUACNUUGCUGUUUUGACGUUACCCACAGAAUAAGCACCGGCUAACUCCGUGCCAGCAGCCGCGGUAAUACGGAGGGUGCAAGCGUUAAUCGGAAUUACUGGGCGUAAAGCGCGCGUAGGUGGUUUGUUAAGUUGGAUGUGAAAUCCCCGGGCUCAACCUGGGAACUGCAUUCNAAACUGGCAAGCUAGAGUAUGGUAGAGGGUGGUGGAAUUUCCGGUGUAGCGGUGAAAUGCGUAGAUAUNGGNAGGAACACCAGUGGCGAAGGCGGCCCCCUGGACUGAUACUGACACUGAGGUGCGAAAGCG